UCAGGCUCCCCAACCUGGCACAGAGCUGCUAUUUAAACUCCACCCUGCAGAGUCUCCUGACAGUGAGGGUCUUCAGUCAGGAGAUGGAGCAGACGCAGUGGGCUUGGAGUUUAGCUCCCUCUGCACAGCUGCUCAGGGAGUUUGUGGCCAUCGGGACAUCACGUUGCUCCGACAACAACGGCCACAAGAUGGCAGUGCUGAGUUCGUUUAAGAAGAGGGUUUCGCUGCAGGCCCCAGAGUUCAAGGACGGUGGACAAAAAGACGCCCAUGAGUUCCUGACCGCUGUGCUGGACCAGUUGAGGGGUCUGUCCCUCCUGCUAAAGCCAGCCGCUCUGGACAUGCUGGGAAGGACCUACUCCUGCCCCGUGGAGGCUCACCUGCUCUUCAACAUGUUGAGAACCAGGACCUGCAAGGGAUGUGAGGGCCAGUCCUCGUCCAUGGAGGUCUUCACCAACCUGUCCCUGGACCUGGAGCCUGGAGGCUCGGUGAGCCAGGCCCUGGACAGAUACCUCACGGUCAGUGACCCCACCCUAGGUCAUGGACCCACCAUGCUGUCGCUCAUCCCCCCCCUUGGUGCUGCUGCGGGCGGAUGGUUGCUCUGUGUGAGGGUCAAACCCAGGCGUGUGUUGUUGUGUUGGUUUGUAGGAGAGCUCUCUGAAGUACGCCUGCCAGUGCGGAGGAAAUACAUCUGGCACCCAGUCCUGCUUCCUGACCCUACCUAACGUUCUGGUCCUCCACCUGAAACGCUUCCGCUUCACCCUCACUGGGAGGAUAGAGAAGGUGGAGGAUGAAGUCCUCCUGUCCAGAAACCUGGGACUCAGCAUUGGGACAGGUGCUGAAGCUUUGUCCCUGUCCUGUUCACAAGAUCCAAUAUCUUAUCCACUUAUAUCUCUUGUUUCAGUAUUAUGUACACAUGAAGAGAAUAAGCAAGGCCAGACAUAGACAAAGAGUAUAUGUUGAUUGAAUAACUGAAACGAUGGAUAGGUGUAGCCUUUACUAACCCUUCAAAUUAUCUAUUUCAUACUACAGAGGCAGGGAGUGAGGAAAGCAACAUCAUGGUGAGAAGAAGAGAGAGAAAGAAUAUUUGAGAGAUAAUAAGCUAAUCAAUUAAACAAAUUAAUAUUAUUAAUAACAUGAGGUGAGAUAAAAUAUAGAAUACUUACUAAUAUACAGUAAUAUAGCUGCCUUGCCUUAAGCUUAGUAAGAUGAAGGGAGAAGAAGUGCAGGAGAUGUUCUCUGUGUGUGAACCUGCUGCUGUCCUGCCGACGCCGUGCUCACUGUUCAGUAUGAUACGCGUUUCCUUCCCAGGAGAAGUACACACUCGUGAGUGUACUGAGCCACAUCGGUGCCCGGGCUACAUCAGGUGACACAAACACACACAAACACACACAUACACUUUAGGAGUUUUCUGUAUGUCGCUUGCAGUUACACUGUCCUGGGUAGAUUGGUUAUUGAACGAUUGACUUAUUGAUUAUUGAUGAUCGAUCAUGAGGAUGAUAUGAUAGGGCACGUCAGAAAUGUAUCUUUGAACCCGCCCCCAGGACAUUACAUCAGUGAGGGGGCCUAUCCGGAAGAGGGCAACAACCUGGCUGACCAAUGGCUGCGCUACAAUGACCUGAAGGUGUCACGGACCACCGGCAGGGCCGUCUGUCGCCGGCGGCAACGCACAGCCUACCUGCUGUUCUACCAGCGACAGGUAGGAGGGUGAAUUAAAUCACAUUCAAAAGGCAAUCAGACAGAUAAUCUGGACUCCAGCAGGCCAGGUUUCAAAUCAACAUCGUGUAGGCUGGCCAUUAUCUAUGCUCAGUUAAUUAAACUCCCUUUCUGAAAGCGUCAUUGACUAGCACAUCUGAGUUUCUCUUUGGUAGAAUGUCUCUGUAACGAAACAGGACACAAGGCGUGACUCGGCCCCUUCAGCCUCUGGUGUCCGGCCCAAGCUCUGAGCCGCCUCCCCCUCGGGAGUUCUGCUGUAACGUGGAAGACUGCUGGACCCCAGAUUAGCUCCACUGUAGAUAAUGAUGGGGUGAAUGAGUCUGCAGUAUCCUACAAUACGUGGUGUUUCCUUUGUGUGUCCAGGUGUAGAACAGUCUGGGGUCUGGGUGGGGGUGGGGGAAGGGCCCUCUGGUCUUUGGUGGGUGUCAGGGAUGUUGAGGAGCAGACCAACAUCCCAUCCCAGAGCCCCCCGAGACCACGCUGAGCCCACCCAGGAGCGAUGGAGUCCCAGACUCAGUGGUCUCCUCCACCCAGGCAGCCCCAGCCCUCAGCUCCUGCUGCAGCAGAUUCCCCUCGCCGAGGUGGGUCUCACUCAGCCUCACUGAACUUAUAUGUCUGUUUGAAUACGUUAGUCCGUAGCGCUCCUCCUGACUCUAGCCUACUUUAAAUAGUUUGCUUCAUUGCAACGGGGAAAACUGGGGCAGAAGUUGGCCGGAGGAAAGAACCAUUGGUGUGGUCAGCAGCUCAGGUGAGACUUUAAAUAACUGAUCAUUCACACACACAAGGCCCCGCUGCUGCUAGACCUACCAUGCAUGUUCACCUGGACACUCAGCUAUUGAUUCAUGUAUUCAUCAUGUUUAUUUAUACUGUUCAUUUGAUGCACAUUUCGUGUACAGUAAUAUUACUUUGGUAUUGUAUAACCUUUAUCAUUUACUUCUAUUGUCAGUAGUAUGAUUAUUUUCUGUUCUUCGCACAGCAAUGUGAUUGAAGAUUAUUUUGAACUUGUAUCUGCGUCUGUCUGUGUUUGUGUGUGUGUGUGUGUGUGUGUGUGUGUGUGUUGUUUUUUUUGACCCUACCAGUACAAUCACCAGACCGACGGCCCCCCCCUCCGAGGUGGCCCAGGUACGCGCCCCACCGAGGCAGGGGAGCUCCAGGAGGGUAGAGCUGCUGCCCUGAGGUAGGUGCAGGCGUGUGUGUGUCUGUGUGUGUAGGACGCCCAUGAGUUCCUGACCGCUGUGCUGAACCAGUUGAGGGGUCUGUCCCUCCUGCUAAAGCCAGCCGCUCUGGGCAUGGUGGGAAGGACCUACUCCUGCCCCGUGGAGUCUCACCUGCUCUUCAACAUGAGGAGAACCAGGACCUGCAAGGGGUAACUCAACUCCACCUCAACCCCCUGGCAGACGCACACACUGCCUCUCUUGAAAACGACCAUAGUUCUACAAGUUUAAAAUAGCAAUAGAAAAAUUCAGAGAAGAUGAUGUGAACACAGAGGAACUACAAACUACUUGAACGACAUUAAGCCGUCAAUGGUUUUCCUUAGAAGGAUAUUGACCGCUGUGGGAUGCUGCAGUCACUCUAGGCGGCUGAUCCAGAGGAGAGUAG
rnacentral:lncRNA from 1 species